UAGGGAAUCUUCCGCAAUGGGCGAAAGCCUGACGGAGCAACGCCGCGUGAGUGAUGAAGGUCUUCGGAUCGUAAAACUCUGUUAUUAGGGAAGAACAAAUGUGUAAGUAAUUAUGCACGUCUUGACGGUACCUAAUCAGAAAGCCACGGCUAACUACGUGCCAGCAGCCGCGGUAAUACGUAGGUGGCAAGCGUUAUCCGGAAUUAUUGGGCGUAAAGCGCGCGUAGGCGGUUUUUUAAGUCUGAUGUGAAAGCCCGCGGCUCAACCGUGGAGGGUCAUUGGAAACUGGAAAACUUGAGUGCAGAAGAGGAAAGUGGAAUUCCAUGUGUAGCGGUGAGAUGCGCAGAGAUAUGGAGGAACACCAGUGGCAAAGACGACUUUCUGGUCUGUAACUGACGCUGAUGUGCAAAAGCGUGGGGAUCAAACAGG
rnacentral:rRNA from 1 species